rnacentral:rRNA from 1 species
CAGUCGCCAGCGGGAAUACGUAGGGUGCAAGCGUUAAUCGGAAUUACUGGGCGUAAAGCGUGCGCAGGCGGUUAUAUAAGACAGAUGUGAAAUCCCCGGGCUCAACCUGGGAACUGCAUUUGUGACUGUAUAGCUAGAGUACGGCAGAGGGGGAUGGAAUUCCGCGUGUAGCAGUGAAAUGCGUAGAUAUGCGGAGGAACACCGAUGGCGAAGGCAAUCCCCUGGGCCUGUACUGACGCUCAUGCACGAAAGCGUGGGGAGCAAACAGGAUUAGAUACCCCAGUAGUCCCUGUCUCUUAUA